UACGUAGGGUGCGAGCGUUGUCCGGAAUUAUUGGGCGUAAAGGGCUCGUAGGCGGUUUGUCGCGUCGGGAGUGAAAACGCCGUGCUUAACACGGCGCUUGCUUCCGAUACGGGCAGACUGGAGGUAUGCAGGGGAGAACGGAAUUCCUGGUGUAGCGGUGAAAUGCGCAGAUAUCAGGAGGAACACCGGUGGCGAAGGCGGUUCUCUGGGCAUUACCUGACGCUGAGGAGCGAAAGUGUGGGGAGCGAACAGG
rnacentral:rRNA from 1 species